ensembl:lncRNA
CUGUCCUGUGUGGUGCAGAAUUUACCGAGGAGCUUCCAGUCAGUUUGGUUUAUUCGCGUGCUCAUCACUCCUCCGUGCAUUUGUUCCUUCACGUUAUUAAGUCAUUUUUUUGUUUGUGUUUUUUUUUUUUUUUUUGCUUUUGGUUUUUAGGGCUGUAUUCAGGCUGGGGUCAAAGCAGAGCUGUAGCUGCCGGCCUACACCACAGCCACAGCCACACAGGAUCCAAGCCGCAUCUGCAACCUGCACCACAGCUCACAGCAACGCUGGAUCCUUCACCCACUGAGCAAGGCCAGGCAUGGAGCCGAAUCCUCAAGGAUACAAGUGGGGUUCAUCACCCCUGAGCAUGAUGGGAACUCCCGUUGUUACGCUUUUCAUUCGUUUAUCCUGCCCCCUGUUUGGGAGAGGACGACAGGUGGUGAACGCAUCGUUGGAGGACAGGUAAAAAGAGGCGUUUCCUCAUGUCACCAGCGAGCCUCGACCUGAAGUCACAGUGCCCUUCGCGUGCCAUGGGCAUGCCCCCCCCCAAGACACUACGUCAAUCUCUGAUUCUCUGCACAGUUUUUUAAGAACAACAAAACCAGUAGCAAGAGGAGCUCUUCGCUGCGCCAUCCCAUCCGAAGCCGCACCUGAAGGCAGGAAGAAAACGACACUCCAGCCCAAAGACAGCCCGGCUGAGAGAGGAGCUCUCUCGUGCCACCUUUUCUUCCACACAGGUCUUCAACUGAUAAGACGAGGCCCACCACACUGGGCAGGGCCGUCUGCUUUACUCUCUACUCCCCACAACGGUACUCUCCUCAGGAAACACCCUCACACACACACACAGAUGGAAGGAACCAGGUCCCUGGGCAGCCAGGGGCCCAGAGCUGCUGACCCAGAGAACUAACCCCCACACAGUCUGGGGCCCUUCUGAAUUUCAUGCACAGCCCUUGGGGAGGGAGCCUGCGAGGGAAGGAGGAAGGGUGGAAGGAGCUCCCGCACUCUGGGUGCUGAGAGCCGUGAGCGCCUCUGCUGUCUGGGCGGGGAGGCGCUCAGUGAACAGGUGGCGCCGGCCCCUCACCGCCUCCAUCAGCCCCUCCCACCAGCCCCAGGGGUGGUUGGAUGAACCCUGCUCUGUGCUCCCGUUUCUCCCCCCAAGUCUCCUUCAAGCCAUUUCGUUUUAAGUUUGAUUGGCACCUGCUCCAGGGUCGAGGCUACGGCGUCUGUGCUGCUCAGCAACAGUUUCCUGAAGUAGCCACAGCAGCCUUCUCGGACUUGGCACUGGACGUCUUGGCCUCUCCCGGGUAGGGAACUGCUCGGGGUGCAGUGAGAGCCGCCCCCUCGGCCUUUCAGGGGGGUGCCCUGCCCUCCCCGCCGACUGCUGAGCCCCGUGACUGCCACAGACCUGGGAGUGGCGCCCAGUGUGGGCACCCUCCUGGGGCUCUCGCCCUCUCUGCCCACACCUUGUCCCUCCUUCCCGCAUCCACCUCACUGCCCACUUUCGCCUUUGUCCUCCCUCAUUUGUGCAAAGCAAGGACACUGAGCAAGCAGGCUGUGGGUACCCUUGGAGAGG